rnacentral:rRNA from 1 species
CAGCCGCCACGGUAAUACAGAGGGUGCGAGCGUUAAUCGGAUUUACUGGGCGUAAAGCGUGCGUAGGCGGCUUUUUAAGUCGGAUGUGAAAUCCCUGAGCUUAACUUAGGAAUUGCAUUCGAUACUGGGAAGCUAGAGUAUGGGAGAGGAUGGUAGAAUUCCAGGUGUAGCGGUGAAAUGCGUAGAGAUCUGGAGGAAUACCGAUGGCGAAGGCAGCCAUCUGGCCUAAUACUGACGCUCAUGCACGAAAGCGUGGGGAGCAAACAGGAUUAGAUACCCCUGUAGUCCCUGUCUCUUAUAC